ACUUCGGUAAAACACCCGGUUGGUGGGUAAGGAUUUAAACACAUGCGUAGACCGAGAAACGGGAACUCGGAUGGAAAGUUAAAAGACUUGGAUUUUGAGUCAUUACUAAAAGAUGACAAGAUAAAGUAAAUAGAAGUUUUGAUAAAUCAUGUUCAACUAUUUUAAAGUUGAACGGGUCGAACAAAUAUUGAAGUUUGACAUUCAUAAGUGACGAAUUUUCACACGAACAAGUUAAACGGGUUAGAUAAAACGAAACAUUGGAAAAGAUAAAGAACCCGGUAAUGGGACGAGAUUGAAUGCAAAUAUGAGCGCAAACCGAAGAAAGGAAAGCGCGAGACAUUAAUGAACCCAUGUAAUGGGUCGGAAUUAAAUAUGAGAUGAUUGUGGACACGAAUCACAGUCGGCAUGAGCGAAAUUUUGAUGCAAAAAAAAAAAAAAAAACAAACAAACAAACAAACAAAUAAUUUUCAAAUAUAAAAAGGAGAAUCUACGGGAUCAUUAUAACCUUCGGGUUAGAAACAAUGUAAUGGUCUACGGGACUAAACUGACCCAUGGGUCACGAAUAGAAAGGGAAGGAAUCAUAAAGGCAACGCCCUAAAGAAGUGAAAGCCUAAAUAAAUAGCCUACGAGGCCAAGUAAAAGAAUCUACGGGUUACGUAGACGAGCGGGGGAACCAGUAGAGAAUUCACACAUAAAACUAGACUGUAAAAGAAUAAAUUACAAAUUGUCAAUGUCCUGGUAUGGAUAAUUGACAAAAGAUAAAGAAAAGAUCCUAAACUAAAACUUUGGUUUUAGUAAGAAAUAACGUUUUUACAAAUAUGUAUGCUGAUAGGAAAUUGAAUAUUAAGCAUGAAAGGUUCAAGUUUUGACACUGAUAGGCGCAAGACGUUAUGUUUGAAAAGUGAUAUUUUCGAAAAUGAAAUUUUGAUAUAAAUUAAAUAUGAUAUGACGCGAUCACGGUCAAGAACUGCAAUGUGAAGUAGAAUCACAUUAUAACCAAGCAAGCUGUAAAAAGUAACUGGACUAAUAAGUCUAGUUAGCGAGACCGGUUAAGGUCAGCAAUUAAAAUCAAGAAAUUUGGUUUGCUUGUAAGCGGUGGAUUCGGUAUAACUAAAUCGAAUGAAUAAAUUUGAAAACAAAAGAAAUUGUUGCUAAAAGUGAAAAUUCUCACUAAAGACCUUUAAACGGGUCAAAGUAAUGGAUUCAUAAAGAAUUCCAUAGUAUAUGAAAGCGAUGGAUAUCGCUAAGUUAACUAAACUAGUGGAAAUAACAAGAUUACGUUAUUUCAAGUUGCAUUAUGUCGUAUGAGAUGUGUAGACAAUUAGUAACCAAAAAGAUGUUACCAUACUUUUCUGGUACUAAUAACGAUUGGUUAAAAAUAUAAGUAAUGUUUAAAAGAAUUCUAGGAUCGAAUACAUUGAGUUUAAACUCGAUGAAUUAUGCAAGAAAAGGUUUCGAGGACGAAACCUCUUUAAGGGGGGUAGACUUGUAACACCCCAAAAUAUAAAAUUUACAUAUACAUAUGUAAAUUAUAAAUUGGUCAUAACCAAAUGUAACAUAACUAGGAAUAAUUAACCUAGUUAGUAAAUUGAAUUGGAAAAAAAAAAACAAUAAGGAAAAACAUGAAAUAGAUAACCAUUUUACAAAAUAUGGAACUAUAGGGACUAAAAGAGGCAAAAGGGAAAAAUGUUUUUAAUUAAAACAAAUAAACACCAAAACACACACACAUGUGUGUGUUUGGUCGACGUUUACACAGAGCCAGGAGAAGGGUUCUUUUCAAAACCCUAACCUCACUAAAAUCCAUCAAAAUCUAAGGGAAAUCGAGUUGGAAAUUAGGGCUUUAACUAAAUUCAUGAUCAACCAUGCUAGGAGAUCACAAGUUGACUCUAAACAAGCUAGGUGGGAGCUUGGAAAGGAACGGGUCAAACGGAUCAUGGAUGCGAAGAAUGUUUGCGCGAACGCGAGGUAAGUAAAGCUUACGCCCAAUUGUAGUAAACGUAUGUAUUUUAUAGAUGAUAAAUGUGACAACCGAUUACAUUCGAAAUUGAAGUUCCGACACUAAGCGAUGUGAGUCGAAACGAAUAAAAAUGAUCAAAACCAUGGUUAAUGGUAAAAUGGACAAAAGGGUAAUUUAGUCGAGAAUCGACUAAGAAUUUAUAAGAUUUCUUUAAGGUUACCUUAUAGCGAACUUGAAAUGGGUCGGAUGUGUGAAGGGGAUAUUAAAAGUCAUGUUUUGACAUAAGUAUAAAUGUUUGGUCAUAAAUACCAAAUGGGUCAAAUGGUGGUGAUGACACCAUUUGACAAUAUCGACUAAUGUUUGGUUGUUAAGUUAAAUGUUCACAGGAGUGAACGGGAAGUGGAUUAUUGCGUUGCUAUAAAGUAGCGGCUAAUAAAAGAAAGGUACAAAACGGGUCUAUAUGUUGACUCGAGCCAGGUACGCAUUAAUUAGAUCAUGGCGAUAUGCGUAGUUGUAUUUUAGAAUAUAAGUUACUAUGAAAUAUAGCGAUGAUAUCGCCACAUUGAAUAUUUGGUCAAAAGAUGGUUAGAACUCGUUGGUAGUCGUCAAAAAGGAAGGAAUUCCGUAGACAAGCCAAACGGGUCGAAUAAUCAAGUAAGGCAUGGUUAUUGUUUCGGAUUAUGAUGGUUUGAUGGUUGAUUUUGAAUAUUUUAUAACAUAUUAGAAAUAUGAGGUUUUAAUGAAUUAGUAUCAUAGAAAACUGAAAACCGAGAGUCGGGUCUUGGAGUAAUGAUCAAAUAAAACAAAACCUGACAUUCCAGGUACUACCGUAAAUUACGGUAGAACCGUAAUUUACGGUGGUUGUGAUAUGGUUUACGGAGCAGAUCUCCUGGUUUACGGUGACCAGACAUUUCCAGGUCUCACCGUAAAUUACGGUGAUACCGUAAUUUACGGUGGAUUCAGAAUCACUUUUUAUAUUUUUGUUAUUUCUAAUGUGGCAUUAAGCCUUGGGAUUAUGUUAUUAUAUAACAACGUCAAAACUAAUGAUUUUAACGGUUUUGAUCAUAGGUGAAUGCCAAGAGUGCCCGGAUGAAGAUCAAGCUCGAUGAGGAACCGAACACAAUAAAAUCUAACACUCGGGAUUAAAGCUUCCGCACGGCGUUACGCCAUAUCUUUUAAACGACGAACUUAUUUACAUUACGUUGAAAACUUUUAAGUUGUAAAAGUUUUUUUUAGAUUACUUGUAUUUUCUAAGAAUACUUAAUCGCAAUUUCAUGUUUAUUUUCGAUA